UGGGGAAUCUUGCACAAUGGGGGCAACCCUGAUGCAGCGACGCCGCGUGAGCGAUGAAGCCCUUCGGGGCGUAAAGCUCUUUCGACCGGAACGAUAAUGACGGUACCGGGAGAAGAAGCUGCGGCUAACUACGUGCCAGCAGCCGCGGUAAUACGUAGGCAGCAAGCGUUGUUCGGAGUUACUGGGCGUAAAGAGUGCGUAGGCGGUUUUCUAAGUUCGGUGUGAAAUCUCCCGGCUUAACUGGGAGGGUGCGCCGAAGACUGGGAAGCUGGAGUGUGGGAAAGGCAGGCGGAAUUCCUGGUGUAGCGGUGAAAGGCGUAGAUAUCAGGAGGAACACCCGCGGUGUAGACGGCUUGCUAGACCAUAACUGACGC
rnacentral:rRNA from 1 species